rnacentral:rRNA from 1 species
AGGGCUGCAGUAUAUUGACUGUACAAAGGUAGCAUAAUCAUUAGUCAUUUAAUUGAUGACUUGUAUGAAGGAUUUGAUGAGAUAUAAACUGUCUCUUAUUUAAUUAUAAAAUUUAAUUUUUUUAUUAAAAAGUUAAAAUAUCUUAAAAAGACGAGAAGACCCUAUAGAGUUUAAUAAAUUAUUAUAUUGAGAUUAUAUGUAAAACAAAUUUAAAAUAAAAUUAUUUAUUUUGUUGGGGUGACAAAAAAAUACAUUAAACUUUUUUUUUUAUUUUAAAACAUUUAUAAGUGAUUAAAUGAUCCAAUAAUAUUGAUUAUGAGAAAAAAUUACCUUAGGGAUAACAGCGUAAUUUUUUUUUUUAGUUCAAAUAAGAAAAAGAGUUUGCGACCUCGAUGUUGGAUUAAGAUAAAAUUUAAA